GACGAACCGUGCGAACGUUAUUCGGAUUCACUGGGCUUAAAGGGCGCGUAGGCGGGCGAUCAAGUCCGGGGUGAAAUCCUUUCGGCGUUAACCGGAAAAGGCCUCGGAGACUGGUUGCCUGGAGUGAGGUAGGGGCAUGUGGAACUUCCGGUGGAGCGGUGAAAUGCGUUGAUAUCGGAAGGAACGCCGGUGGCGAAGCGACGUGCUGGCCCUCAACUGACGCUGAGGCGACGAAAGCCAGGGAGCGAUCCGG
rnacentral:rRNA from 1 species